UACGUAGGGGGCAAGCGUUGUCCGGAUUUACUGGGCGUAAAGCGCGCGCAGGCGGUCGGUCAAGUCGCGUGUGAAAGCCCCCGGCUCAACUGGGGAGGGUCACGCGAUACUGAUCGACUGGAAGGCAGGAGAGGGUAGUGGAAUUCCCGGUGUAGUGGUGAAAUGCGUAGAUAUCGGGAGGAACACCAGUGGCGAAGGCGACUACCUGGCCUGUUCUUGACGCUGAGGCGCGAAAGCUAGGGGAGCAAACGGG
rnacentral:rRNA from 1 species